rnacentral:rRNA from 1 species
ACCCAAUAGAUACCCUGGUAGUCCACGCCCUAAACGAUGUAUGCUUGGUGUUGGCUCGUAUGAGUCAGCGCCGUAGGUAAACCUGAUAAGCAUACCACCUGGGGAGUACGCUCGCAAGGGUGAAACUCAAAGGAAUUGACGGGGGCCCGCACAAGCGGUGGAGCAUGUGGUUUAAUUCGAGGCUACGCGAAGAACCUUACCUGGGCUUGAACUGCCGGUAGUAGGACCCUGAAAGGGGAACGACCCGCAAGGGAGCCGGCGGAGGUGCUGCAUGGCUGUCGUCAGCUCGUGCCGUGAGGUGUUGGGUCAA